CUGCCUCUGAGAUAUUCUUUCAGUACCUUUAGGAUUUACUAAUUGGCCUCUACUUCAGAGCAAAUUUGGGAGUGAUAACAAAGAGAAUGAAGAGAACAGGAAUAGUUAGAAGAAGCUGGACUUCUGGCUUGGUAUAAAAAAGAAGGAAGAAAGAUGUGGUGCUUUGGAAAGCUCAGCAACCACUAAUGAAGCACAAAGAACUCUCUAAUUUUAGAGUGAUGUAGUAAGGAAAGGUUUCCACAGCGUUACAGGAGACUAUCCUUGAAAGAGCACCGCCAAAUCCUGUCAAUGUAAAGUUAGCUUUUUAGCAGGAGACACUCCUUGAAGGGGCACCCUCAAGUCUGGCCAUUAAAGAAAGAAGUUCAGCAGAACCAGAAUUUUACCACAGAUAUACUUUCGGAGUGUGAGCCACUGUUCAGUGCUUUCCUGCUUGGCUUGCUUCAUCCAGUGCCUGUGCUGGUACUGUGACACAAGAAGAGCCUCUUGUCAUCCAUUAAAUGCUGCCUGGCAAAUCCUCUACGACUUUCUUCACCAGGACAUUUCCAGCCCUUUACAGCUCUCACAAAGUUAGGCUGAGGUCUCCCAUCUAAGCCCUUACUACUGCAAUCUGUUGCCCUGGACUCUGCCAUCCCUGCUGCUGGUUCUGCUGAGGCUCCAGAACCUGGUCAACUCAGAUUAGCCUUGAAUACAGUUUUAAUCUCAUUACAAUUAGCAGUUUUUAUCAGUAAGACUUGCAGUCAGUUGGUAAGACUUGAGAUCCUAUUUCAAUCCUGUCUGUUGCUCAGUGGCUUUAACUUAUGAGUGCCUUGGGUUUUAAUUCAGUGGUUUAGAGUGUUUUUUUGUUUUUGAAGUUUUUUUUUUUUCUUGUUUUUUCUUGGGGGUGCUGGGGAGGUUGAAAUUUCCUUGUUUAUUAAUGAGGUUAAGAAAUGGUUAGGUGCACAAGAAUCCCUCUCUCAACCAAGUAUAUUUUUAAUCAUUUUCUUUGACGAACUUGUAAGGAUUGUCUACAGCCCACUUAACUGCAAAUUGAGUUCUCUCAUCGCUCCACUUUCUCAUCUCCAUGGCAUUCUGCUAUGACUUGCUACUGCUCUUCUGUUGGAAGUAGGAAAAAAAAGCUUUUAA